ACGAACGCUGGCGGCGUGCCUAAUACAUGCAAGUCGAACGAACGGAGGAAGAGCUUGCUCUUCCAAWGUUAGUGGCGGACGGGUGAGUAACACGUGGGCAACCUGCCUGUAAGUUGGGGAUAACUCCGGGAAACCGGGGCUAAUACCGAAUGAUARRRUGUGGCGCAUGCCACGCYUUUGAAAGAUGGUUUCGGCUAUCGCUUACAGAUGGGCCCGCGGUGCAUUAGCUAGUUGGUAGGGUAAUGGCCUACCAAGGCAACGAUGCAUAGCCGACCUGAGAGGGUGAUCGGCCACACUGGGACUGAGACACGGCCCAGACUCCUACGGGAGGCAGCAGUAGGGAAUCUUCCGCAAUGGACGAAAGUCUGACGGAGCAACGCCGCGUGUAUGAAGAAGGUUUUCGGAUCGUAAAGUACUGUUGUUAGAGAAGAACAAGGAUAAGAGUAACUGCUUGUCCCUUGACGGUAUCUAACC
rnacentral:rRNA from 1 species